AACGAACGCUGGCGGCAGGCUUAACACAUGCAAGUCGAACGCCCCGCAAGGGGAGUGGCAGACGGGUGAGUAACGCGUGGGAACGUGCCCUUCGCUUCGGAAUAGCCCCGGGAAACUGGGAGUAAUACCGAAUACGCCGUAUUGGGAAAGAUUUAUCGGCGAAGGAUCGGCCCGCGUUAGAUUAGCUAGUUGGCGGUGUAAUGGACCACCAAGGCUACGAUCUAUAGCUGGUCUGAGAGGAUGAUCAGCCACACUGGGACUGAGACACGGCCCAGACUCCUACGGGAGGCAGCAGUGGGGAAUUUUGGACAAUGGGCGCAAGCCUGAUCCAGCCAUGCCGCGUGAGUGAAGAAGGCCUUAGGGUUGUAAAACUCUUUCGCCGGAGAAGAUAAUGACGGUAUCCGGAGAAGAAGCCCCGGCUAACUCCGUGCCAGCCGCCGCGGUAAGAC
rnacentral:rRNA from 1 species